UGGGGAAUCUUCCGCAAUGGACGAAAGUCUGACGGAGCAACGCCGCGUGAGUGAAGACGGCCUUCGGGUUGUAAAGCUCUGUGAUUCGGGACGAAAGGCCAUAUGUAAAUAAUAUAUGGAAAUGACGGUACCGAAAAAGCAAGCCACGGCUAACUACGUGCCAGCAGCCGCGGUAAUACGUAGGUGGCAAGCGUUGUCCGGAAUUAUUGGGCGUAAAGCGCGCGCAGGCGGUCACUUAAGUCCAUCUUAGAAGUGCGGGGCUUAACCCCGUGAUGGGAUGGAAACUGGGAGACUGGAGUAUCGGAGAGGAAAGUGGAAUUCCUAGUGUAGCGGUGAAAUGCGUAGAUAUUAGGAAGAACACCGGUGGCGAAGGCGACUUUCUGGACGAAAACUGACGCUGAGGCGCGAAAGCGUGGGGAGCAAACAGG
rnacentral:rRNA from 1 species